rnacentral:rRNA from 1 species
UAGGGAAUCUUCCACAAUGGACGCAAGUCUGAUGGAGCAACGGCCGCGUGAGUGAAGAAGGUUUUCGGACCGUAAAGCUCUGUUGUUGGUGAAGAAGGAUAGAGGUAGUAACUGGCCUUUAUUUGACGGUAAUCAACCAGAAAGUCACGGCUAACUACGUGCCAGCAGCCGCGGUAAUCGUAGGUGGCAAGCGUUGUCCGGAUUAUUGG